ACACUCCUGCGGGAGGCAGCAGUGGGGAAUAUUGGACAAUGGGCGCAAGCCUGAUCCAGCCAUGCCGCGUGAGUGAUGAAGGCCCUAGGGUUGUAAAGCUCUUUCACCGGAGAAGAUAAUGACGGUAUCCGGAGAAGAAGCCCCGGCUAACUUCGUGCCAGCAGCCGCGGUAAUACGAAGGGGGCUAGCGUUGUUCGGAAUUACUGGGCGUAAAGCGCACGUAGGCGGAUCGAUCAGUCAGGGGUGAAAUCCCAGGGCUCAACCCUGGAACUGCCUUUGAUACUGUCGAUCUGGAGUAUGGAAGAGGUGAGUGGAAUUCCGAGUGUAGAGGUGAAAUUCGUAGAUAUUCGGAGGAACACCAGUGGCGAAGGCGGCUCACUGGUCCAUUACUGACGCUGAGGUGCGAAAGCGUGGGGAGCAAACAGGAUUAGAUACCCGAGUAGUCC
rnacentral:rRNA from 1 species